AGUGAACGCUGGCGGUAGGCCUAACACAUGCAAGUCGAACGGCAGCACAGUAAGAUCUUGCUCUUACGGGUGGCGAGUGGCGGACGGGUGAGGAAUACAUCGGAAUCUACUUUUUCGUGGGGGAUAACGUAGGGAAACUUACGCUAAUACCGCAUACGACCUACGGGUGAAAUCAGGGGAUCUUCGGACCUUGCGCGAUUGACUGAGCCGAUGUCGGAUUAGCUAGUUGGCGGGGUAAAGGCCCACCAAGGCGACGAUCCGUAGCUGGUCUGAGUGGAUGAUCAGCCACACUGGAACUGAGACACGGUCCAGACUCCUACGGGAGGCAGCAGUGGGGAAUAUUCGACAAUGGGCGCAAGCCUGAUCCAGCCAUACCGCGUGAGUGAAGAAGGCCUUCGGGUUGUAAAGCCCUUUUGUUGGGGAAGAAAAGCAGCAGGUUAAUACCCCGCUGUUCUGACGGUACCCGAAGAAUAAGCACCGGCUAACUUCGUG
rnacentral:rRNA from 1 species